rnacentral:rRNA from 1 species
UUUGCCAAGGAUGUUUUCAUUGAUCAAGAACGAAAGUUAGGGGAUCGAAGACGAUCAGAUACCGUCCUAGUCUUAACCAUAAACUAUGCCGACUAGAGAUUGGAGGUCGUUAUCUUUACGACUCCUUCAGCACCUUAUGAGAAAUCAAAGUCUUUGGGUUCCGGGGGGAGUAUGGUCGCAAGGCUGAAACUUAAAGGAAUUGACGGAAGGGCACCACCAGGAGUGGAGCCUGCGGCUUAAUUUGACUCAACACGGGGAAACUUACCAGGUCCAGACAUAGUAAGGAUUGACAGAUUGAUAGCUCUUUCUUGAUUCUAUGGGUGGUGGAGC